rnacentral:rRNA from 1 species
GACGGAGGAUGCAAGCGUUAUCCGGAAUGAUUGGGCGUAAAGCGUCUGCAGGUGGCAGUUCAAGUCUGCUGUCAAAGACCGGGGCUUAACUUCGGAAAGGCAGUGGAAACUGAACAGCUAGAGUAUGGUAGGGGCAGAGGGAAUUCCUGGUGUAGCGGUGAAAUGCGUAGAGAUCAGGAAGAACACCGGUGGCGAAGGCGCUCUGCUAGGCCGCAACUGACACUGAGGGACGAAAGCUAGGGGAGCGAAUGGG